GGUUAAGCGACUAAGCGUACACGGUGGAUGCCCUGGCAGUCAGAGGCGAUGAAGGACGUGCUAAUCUGCGAAAAGCGUCGGUAAGGUGAUAUGAACCGUUACAGCCGGCGAUGUCCGAAUGGGGAAACCCAGUGCAAUUCGUUGCACUAUCGUUAACUGAAUACAUAGGUUAACGAGGCGAACCGGGGGAACUGAAACAUCUAAGUACCCCGAGGAAAAGAAAUCAACCGAGAUUCCCCCAGUAGCGGCGAGCGAACGGGGAGCAGCCCGGAGUCUGAAUCAGCUUGUGUGUUAGUGGAAGCGUCUGGAAAGUCGCAGGGUACAGGGUGAUACUCCCGUACACUAAAACACACAGGCUGUGAACUCGAAGAGUAGGGCGGGACACGUGGUAUCCUGUCUGAAUAUGGGGGGACCAUCCUCCAAGGCUAAAUACUCCUGACUGACCGAUAGUGAACCAGUACCGUGAGGGAAAGGCGAAAAGAACCCCGGCGAGGGGAGUGAAAAAGAACCUGAAACCGUGUACGUACAAGCAGUAGGAGCCCACUAGUUGGGUGACUGCGUACCUUUUGUAUAAUGGGUCAGCGACUUAUAUUCUGUAGCAAGGUUAACCGAAUAGGGGAGCCGCAGGGAAACCGAGUCUUAACUGGGCGUUAAGUUGCAGGGUAUAGACCCGAAACCCGGUGAUCUAGCCAUGGGCAGGUUGAAGGUUGGGUAACACUAACUGGAGGACCGAACCGACUAAUGUUGAAAAAUUAGCGGAUGACUUGUGGCUGGGGGUGAAAGGCCAAUCAAACCGGGAGAUAGCUGGUUCUCCCCGAAAGCUAUUUAGGUAGCGCCUCGUGAACUCAUCUUCGGGGGUAGAGCACUGUUUCGGCUAGGGGGUCAUCCCGACUUACCAACCCGAUGCAAACUACGAAUACCGAAGAAUGUUAUCACGGGAGACACACGGCGGGUGCUAACGUCCGUCGUGAAGAGGGAAACAACCCAGACCGCCAGCUAAGGUCCCAAAGUCAUGGUUAAGUGGGAAACGAUGUGGGAAGGCCCAGACAGCCAGGAUGUUGGCUUAGAAGCAGCCAUCAUUUAAAGAAAGCGUAAUAGCUCACUGGUCGAGUCGGCCUGCGCGGAAGAUGUAACGGGGCUAAACCAUGCACCGAAGCUGCGGCAGCGACACUAUGUGUUGUUGGGUAGGGGAGCGUUCUGUAAGCCGUUGAAGGUGGCCUGUGAGGGUUGCUGGAGGUAUCAGAAGUGCGAAUGCUGACAUAAGUAACGAUAAUGCGGGUGAAAAACCCGCACGCCGGAAGACCAAGGGUUCCUGUCCAACGUUAAUCGGGGCAGGGUGAGUCGACCCCUAAGGCGAGGCCGAAAGGCGUAGUCGAUGGGAAACAGGUUAAUAUUCCUGUACUUGGUGUUACUGCGAAGGGGGGACGGAGAAGGCUAUGUUGGCCGGGCGACGGUUGUCCCGGUUUAAGCAUGUAGGCGGAUGUUCCAGGUAAAUCCGGAACGUUAUUAACGCUGAGGUGUGAUGACGAGGCACUACGGUGCUGAAGUGACAAAUGCCCUGCUUCCAGGAAAAGCCUCUAAGCAUCAGGUAACAUCAAAUCGUACCCCAAACCGACACAGGUGGUCAGGUAGAGAAUACCAAGGCGCUUGAGAGAACUCGGGUGAAGGAACUAGGCAAAAUGGUGCCGUAACUUCGGGAGAAGGCACGCUGAUGGUAAGUGAAGUGACUUGCUCAUGGAGCUGAAAUCAGUCGAAGAUACCAGCUGGCUGCAACUGUUUAUUAAAAACACAGCACUGUGCAAACACGAAAGUGGACGUAUACGGUGUGACGCCUGCCCGGUGCCGGAAGGUUAAUUGAUGGGGUUAUCCUCACGGAGAAGCUCUUGAUCGAAGCCCCGGUAAACGGCGGCCGUAACUAUAACGGUCCUAAGGUAGCGAAAUUCCUUGUCGGGUAAGUUCCGACCUGCACGAAUGGCGUAAUGAUGGCCAGGCUGUCUCCACCCGAGACUCAGUGAAAUUGAACUCGCUGUGAAGAUGCAGUGUACCCGCGGCAAGACGGAAAGACCCCGUGAACCUUUACUAUAGCUUGACACUGAACACUGGUCCUUGAUGUGUAGGAUAGGUGGGAGGCUUUGAAGUGUGGACGCCAGUCUGCAUGGAGCCGUCCUUGAAAUACCACCCUUUAAUGGCUGGUGUUCUAACGUGGGCCCGUGAUCCGGGUUGCGGACAGUGUCUGGUGGGUAGUUUGACUGGGGCGGUCUCCUCCUAAAGAGUAACGGAGGAGCACGAAGGUCAGCUAAUCCUGGUCGGACAUCAGGAGGUUAGUGCAAUGGCAUAAGCUGGCUUGACUGCGAGCGUGACGGCGCGAGCAGGUGCGAAAGCAGGUCAUAGUGAUCCGGUGGUUCUGAAUGGAAGGGCCAUCGCUCAACGGAUAAAAGGUACUCCGGGGAUAACAGGCUGAUACCGCCCAAGAGUUCAUAUCGACGGCGGUGUUUGGCACCUCGAUGUCGGCUCAUCACAUCCUGGGGCUGAAGUAGGUCCCAAGGGUAUGGCUGUUCGCCAUUUAAAGUGGUACGCGAGCUGGGUUUAGAACGUCGUGAGACAGUUCGGUCCCUAUCUGCCGUGGGCGCUGGAGAAUUGAGGGGGGCUGCUCCUAGUACGAGAGGACCGGAGUGGACGCAUCACUGGUGUUCGGGUUGUCAUGCCAAUGGCAUUGCCCGGUAGCUAAAUGCGGAAGAGAUAAGUGCUGAAAGCAUCUAAGCACGAAACUUGCCCCGAGAUGAGUUCUCCCUGACCCUUUAAGGGUCCUGAAGGAACGUUGAAGACGACGACGUUGAUAGGCCGGGUGUGUAAGCGCAGCGAUGCGUUGAGCUAACCGGUACUAAUGAACCGUGAGGCUUAACCUU
rnacentral:rRNA from 1 species